rnacentral:tRNA from 1 species
GCCGGGGUAGCUCAAUCGGUAGAGCGUGUGGCUCUUAUCUACUGUAUAAGCACAACCUCAAGGUCGAGGGUUCGAGCCCCUCCUUCGGCU